rnacentral:rRNA from 1 species
GACAGAGGGUGCAAACGUUGUUCGGAAUUACUGGGCAUAAAGAGCACGUAGGUGGUGCGCUAAGUCACGUGUGAAAUCCCCCGGCUCAACCGGGGAAUUGCGCGUGAUACUGGCGGACUCGAGGCGGGUAGGGGUGAGCGGAACUCCAGGUGGAGCGGUGAAAUGCGUUGAUAUCGGCUGGAACUCCGAUGGCGAAGGCAAGGUGCUGGACCCUCUCUGACGCUGAGGCGCGAAAGCUAGGGGAGCAAACGGG